rnacentral:lncRNA from 1 species
GAGUAUUCAAACUCAGAAUAUCUUAGACAAUAUUAUAACACUCCUCAUGGCUAGUUCUUUGGGUUUUGGCUUUUGUACGAUAACAAGCUUGGUUCUUGUUCUGUUUCUGAGUUCUGUUUCUGCUCAGCACACAAGGGCUUUCUUUGUUUUUGGUGAUUCACUUGUGGACAGUGGCAACAAUGACUUUCUUGCAACCACAGCUCGUGCUGAUGCUCCACCCUAUGGCAUUGACUUCCCAACACACCGACCCACUGGACGCUUCUCUAAUGGCCUAAACAUCCCUGACCUAAUCAGUAUGAAAAUUUGUUACAAUUUUGCAAAUCAAUUCAAUCAGUUUUGACUAAUAAUACUACAUGUUAACACAUGCCUAUUUAUUUCUACCAUUACAUGCAUGCAUGGCUAUAACAUUAAUCUUAGCUCGGUUAGAAAUUUUACAUAAAUUUGUUGAGUGAAUCCAUAUUAAUGAUUUUAUAUUAUAUUUCUAACAUGUGCCUAUAACCUUGCUCAACUUUUGUUUAUAUUGCAGGUUUGGAGCUUGGUUUAGAGCCUACUCUACCAUAUUUGAGCCCUUUACUAGUUGGAGAGAAGCUUCUAAUUGGUGCCAAUUUUGCAUCUGCAGGGAUUGGCAUUCUCAAUGAUACAGGAAUUCAGUUUGUAAGCUCAAUUUGUUCAUUUACUUAUAUUGCUUAAUUCCCUUGUUUUUUUCUUGUCAGAAUGGAACUAUAUAAAAUUGAUUCAUGGGUGUUGAGAGUAACAUUAACAUUUUUUAUUUUGGUUUGGUAGCUGCACAUUAUUCACAUAGAGAAGCAACUCAAGCUCUUCCAACAGUAUCAGAAAAGAGUAAGUGCACACAUUGGCAGAGAGGGAACUCGGAACUUAGUGAACAGAGCACUUUUUCUCAUCACUCUUGGAGGCAAUGAUUUUGUCAACAAUUACUACUUGGUGCCUUAUUCAGCAAGAUCUCGCCAAUAUUCUCUCCCUGACUACGUGCGCUAUAUCAUAUCCGAGUACCGCAAAGUUCUGAGGGUAACUCUGAACUCUAAACCCUAAACUUAAUAAUUGAGUGCUAAUGUCAUAUCGCAUAUCUUACAAAUUUGAUAUGUAUAUAUUGUAUCCACAACAUAAGACUUCGAAAGUCAUUACUAAUUUGUGUCGUCAUCACCUAAUAGCUUGAGUUUUUUUGGAAUAGGUAGUUUAUGAUACAAUAGUGACAAAAUUGAAUAGGCAGUUUGUUAAGGACAUUUAAUACAAUGCAUGGGCAUCAUUAAAGGGUAAAAUGCCUAUCUGAUUAAUUAGAGUCAUGGUCAUGUUUCAAUAAGGCUAGUGAGUGUAUUGGUACAGAAGGCAUAUAUGUAUUAUGUUUUGGUCGGUGAGGUAUACAUACCAAAUUAAUUAUUUUGUUUGCCCCUUCCAAACAUGUUAUUAUUAAAUGCUGUUUCUCACAUGACAUCCCCAUCUUAGCUAUGCCUUAAUUAACAUAGGGAAACCUAUGUUUGAGAAACAUUUUUGAUAAAUAAAUGCUUGGAAAUUUAUGCAGAAGAUGUAUGAUUUGGGAGCUCGUAGGGUUCUGGUAACGGGUACAGGGCCAAUGGGGUGUGUUCCAGCAGAACUAGCUAUGAGAAGCAGAACUGGUGAUUGUGAUGUGGAACUCCAGAGAGCUGCAUCGUUGUACAAUCCACAACUCGUUAAUAUGAUCAAAGGACUCAACCAAGAGCUUGGUGCUGAUGUGUUUAUUGCUGCUAAUGCUUAUCAGAUGCACAUGGACUUCAUUUCCAACCCCAGAGCUUAUGGUAUGUGCCAUGCAACUAGCUGCCUAGAACUUUUCAAUUUAAAAUUAUAUGAUGUUUGAGAAAAAAAAUUAGUAUAUCAGUAAAAACACACACACACACACACACACACACACACACACACACACUUUUGAGCUACAAUUAGUAGCACUAAAUUUUUCAUUUAUCCUAAAUUCUCAAUUUAUCAUGUAGUCCGACCUUUCAGCCAUUUUUUUAUCAGUUCUAAAUUAUACCCUUGGCAUUAUUUAAAUUGGUUCUAGAAAUUCUAUAAUUUGCCUAAAAACAAGUUCAAUGGAUCAUGAACAUUGCUAGCAAUAUACUUUUAAGCACACUUAUUUCAACUCAUUCUCUUUUUUGUUGGAUGAGUACCUGUCCCACUAAAUCAUAUCAAUACAUUUAUUUUUAUGGGACACAUACUCUUUGUUAAAGAAUUUCAUUUAAAAAAUAUGACUUGAAGAAGCAAAUGGGUCCUCUUGGCCACACUUCUCUCUAGCAUGCCUCCAACAAAGAUGUUAACCAUUGUUACUAAGAUUGCUAAAUGAGAAAAUUAAAUUGGUCAAUAUGGAACACAAUGAAUUAUUACAUGACAGCUGCAGAUGAUUCAAAUCGAUUAAUAACGUUUUGUUAGCCUCGCUCAAUAUAAAGCUAUCAUAAUUAAUUUUAUAAUUGAUAUUAAAAACUUAUUAACUUAUUAAAAAACCACUUAAAGCAUGUUAUUUUUUUGAACUCCACUUAAAACAUGUUUAAUAAUUAAUAAAUAUCACAGACUUAAAGUGUUUUGUUUUAAAGAAAUAAAAAUUAUUUUCUUUUUAUUUUAUUGGGUCAAAUUGUUAUAAAAGUUUGAAACUAUUGCACAAGCAAAAAUGAAGCCUAAUUUCCCCUUUUGUGUGAAAAGCCCAAAAUCCCUUUAACCAUGUUGACAAACAAUACUUUUUGGGCUUUCAGGUUUUGUGACAUCAAAGAUAGCAUGCUGCGGGCAAGGCCCAUACAAUGGGAUUGGGCUGUGCACACCGGCCUCAAACCUGUGCCCAAACAGAGACAUUUACGCAUUUUGGGAUCCAUUCCAUCCAUCAGAGAGAGCAAGUAGAAUCAUUGUUCAACAGAUCCUGCGUGGCACCACUGAGUACAUGCACCCCAUGAAUCUCUCCACUAUCAUGGCCCUUGAUUCCAGGACUUAAUCUCAAUUAGGUUCUUGCUUUUUCUCACUACUAGUAUCUAAGCUUAGUUGUGUUCUAUUCUAUUAUCCAUGUGUGUGUGUGCGCGCGCUUUAUUUAUGCGUUCUUUUGAGUUUUGAUGAUCUCCUAGCUAGCUAGUGGUUUGGAGUGCAUUGGGUGCAACGAAAUAAUGCACCGGUUUGUAGUUUGUCAUAUGAUCUUGUGUUGCCAAUAAUAAAAAUGUCUAUCUUUCAAUUGUUAUUUUGUGAAGAUUGAUUGAUGGUAUAUUUCAAUUUAACUUUUAUUUUUUGAGAUAUUUUUAUAAAUAUUUCUUUCAAUAUAGGCUAUUGAUUAUAAAUAUUUGGGAGAGUUUGAGAAAAUGUAUUGAUUAAGAACUAAAUAAUUCAAUAGCCAUCCUCUUAUGUAAAAUGCAGCUUCUAUUUUUUUUCUUUCUUUUCUAUGGAAUUAUUGUGGAAUAUUGAAGUAAGAGAUAGGGACCUAUAGAAUGAAUGACGAUCACUUUCUUUGUUUGGUUUUAUAUGAAGAAAAUGGGAGAGGAGGGUCUAGGCCCCAAAUUUGAGCUUUUUGACGUGGAAAGAAAAAAAACAUUUGGACAAUAUAUAAAUGUUUUGGUCCAAAAAUUGUCCUAAUCUCAUCAUAAAUAAGUAGAAGCAAUUUCAUAAUUCUAUCUGUUAUACCUUUUUUUAUUGCAUCACUUAAUCUAAAUAGCUUAAAACCUCAUAAUUUUAUCCUUAUUUUGUCUUCUUUGACAUCUUUAUCAUAUUUAUUCUCCUUCUUGACUUCUAAAUUUAAACAAGGAGGAGCAUUUUUGUGUGAAGACAUGCAAGCACAAAGACAUUGCAUAACCCCCUCUCCCUGCCUCCAGAAAAAAAAUGCAUUGAAGAGCCAACCAUAGAGGGUGGCAACUAUAAGAAACUUCGCUGAAAUAAAUAUCUAUGGGCCAUGUCAGUUUCUUUAUAUGACAUUAACGCAGCCUCCAAAUGCGAUAUACGGAUUAGAUUAAAUUCAAUUUAGCCAAAUUGCAAUUUUUAGCUUCAUCAUUGUUUUGCAAAAAUGAGCAAAUCACAAAUUAUUAUUUAUUUUUCAGAAAAUCUAGACCACGUCAUGUUUCGUAACACUUUCACAAUGUGCGUCAUUAGUGUCAAACAGCUUAUACAAUAUUAACACUGUCAUCAUGGCCAUCACUAACCCGCUUAAGUGACGUAGUAUGAUUUAACAGAAAUUCAAACAUAUAAAAUCGAGGAAGUGUGUGAUAUGAGGCAUGAGUUUUGAGUUCAAGUUCAUGGCUUAAUUUGAUCAAAUUUACUAAAUGAAUAGCCGAAAAAGUUGGUUGAAAAAGAUCAAUUAUGUACGUGUAGAUCAAAUUAACACUAUAUCGUGGUGAAGGGGUCAAGGGGGGGUGUUAGUUGAACGGUUUCUUCAGCCAAUUAUGUGAUAUCAAGGGUAUUAGGUGUAGAGUGGUUGGUUAUAAAGGCCAUACAGCUCAUACACUUUUACUUCGAUCGUUCUUGAAUUAAUUACCUUAUAAUAAAGUGGUCCUUAUAAUUCAUCAAUCAUCUAUGGAACCAAUCAAAAUUGAAUAUCGUUGUCACUAUUAAUGUGCCUAUGUGUCUCCGUAUACGCCCACUGCUUCCACUAUGAUAGAAAGAUUUAGUAACUCCUAGAAAAAAAACAUGAUGCUUUCUUUUAAGAUAUGUCACACUUAGAUGGAUAUAUAGUCAUUUAAGGAGUAAUCUUCUAUUUUCUUUAAGGGAGGAUGGGUACUCAUUCACCUUUAUUUUGUAUUCUGCUUAUUAGUAGUAUUCAACUUGAUGACUUGAACAGAAUUAAUUAAUUGUUAGUCAAUUUUUGAAAGCCCUUUUAGGUUUUAAAUGAUAUAUAUGGGUGUUUGACUAUUUAUUUAGAGUAUUACUAUAUAUCAUAUAUCAUGAUUUUUGAGAAUUGAUGUUUUAAAAAGUGACAUCCAUUGCUCAAUCGAUGGGAGGAACCAAGAAAAAUAGGUAGGGGCGGAAAUUUAACCUAAUAAAUAAAAUUAUUGAUGAUUAAUUGAGAUAUGUAUGAACUAUGAAGCACAAAAAAUUUAAAGACACGACUUCCAUAUCAAAUAUACGACUUUGUUAAGUAACUAUUUUGUUUCUUGAGAGAUAAUUUCAGUUCAUAUGUGUUACGAGAUAAUUUCAAUGAAAAAAUGAACUUUAAUACAACAAACACAAAAGUAACCCCUUACUUUUGUUAGGUUAAAUGUGCUUUUAAGUUGAUCUCAACUUGAAUCCAAACACAUCUUCAAUGUUAGUUCUUAUUGUUUUUUCUUUCGUCGUUUCAGUUAGAUACAAGUGAAUGAAUGUGUGCUGAAUUUAGAAAAUAGCAUGGUUAAUUUGCAUAUAAUUUUGAGUGAGAAUGCUAUUUCCCAAUAUUACCAAUUUUGAUGCUUCUAUAUUAUAUUUACUUAAUUAUCUUCAAUUAUAUCCAUCUUAAUAAGGACCUGUACUCCACACAGUAGACAUAAGCAUAGUCCUAACUUAAUGCUUCCAAACAUGGCACAUUGAAUCCUGAAUUGCACCACUAACAGUACUAUCUAGUAUCUAAGCAACUUGAGCUUUACAAGGGUGUUUUAAAUCCUGGAAAUAGGACCUGAACUAUUUAACAAAUAUACAGCAAAACAAUAGAUCAGUAGUUUUAAAUUUAGGCCACUCUACCAUUUUGCAAGGUGUAGUACUACUGCAUUAAAUUGAACAAUUCAUACCAAGUCACCAACAAUAGCAGCUCAUGAAAGAACAUAAUUAAUGCAUCUCUCUAACUACUAUAUGGUAGAACAGAGCUUAUAGGAUUCCUUUUAAACAAGCAGUUGAUUUUGAAACUCAACUAAAUAAUUGAUGUGUAAAUGGUAAACCCCUCGACAGUUGAUGUAAUCAAAACCAUAGAUCAGAAAGAGUAACAAGUCUAGCGUCAAGCCAAUCAUAGGAACAUUUUUUUGGUUGAAAUCAAAUCAUCAUUGCAACAUUAAAAGACUGCUUUUGGUUAAACCAGAAGACUAAUUUGAUAAUUUAACAUUUGAAGACUUCAGUAACAAAGAUUUCUCCAACAACUGCCAUUAUUGAUGGAAAUUAAUGGUUUAUAUAUCAGAAUGAGUACCAUUAUGCAUAUACUCAAUGCUCUUUUAUAUGAAUAAUUUUUUUGAAAAAGUUGCACAAAUAAAUACGAUUGAUUGAAAGAAUGAAAGCAGAGCAUACAAUCCUAAGAAACAACUUUUACAUUGACCUUGCCAUUUGCUCUUAGGUACUUCUACUUUUUAGUUUUUAUACUUCCUUUCAUAACAAUUUCUUCUAGGGGUUCUCUUAAUCAACCAAAAUAAAUAUGAGGUAAAAUCAUUUUAGUAUUAGGUGUUCAAGUAAUAUUUUGACAUGUGUUAUCAACUGGAAUUUCUUAAAGCGCAUAUCAAAAUUUUACUAAAUUCAAAAGUAGGUAGAAGGAGAAAAUGUAGCAAGUGACUGAUUUGGUAAAUUAUUAAGAACAUAGAUCAUAAAGCUUGACCAUCGUCGCAAGUGGUGGUGUGGAGCCAUGACCACAACCGCGAAAGGUGGUUUUAGGGUUUAGGUAAGAGGAAGAGAAAGAGGAAGAAGAAGAAUGAGAAGAGAAUGAUUCCAAACUGAUGGAAAAAGUUAAAGGAAUCAAAGUUGAUUAUAUUUUUUUUUAUCAAACCGAUAUUAAAAAGUCUAUGUGGACACUUCUUUAUUUGACGAAGAUUAAUUAACUUACCACGUGAGAUGAGACGGAGAAAAAAACCAUCCAGCUGAAAAUUAAAACAUCAUUAAGGACUUUUUUGUAUAACUUUUUUUAAGGGACUAAAAGUGAUGUAAAAGUUUUUUUUUUUUUUUGACCAAAACCGAGUUAAAAACAUAUUUAACCCAUUCAUAUACAUUAAAUUUCAAACAAAUUGUACUAUGUCGGUAACAGGACACAAAAUGCCAACGUGUUUCAUAAUUGAACUUGAGUGGUAAAAUAAUGCCCGUGCAUCAGAAGCAUGCAUGACACGAAAUUGCCUUUUUUUCCUUUUGUAGCAAAAAAUUAAAGAGCCUCGUGUCCAGUCUUUACACAUUAUAUCAGAUCAAGCGUGACAUUGUUAGAUUCAUGCAUUGCAUACUAUACAGUAUACACUGUCCUGCAUUACCCUGCUGAUUUGACCUCAAUUUUCACUGCAUGCAACUACCAUGUCUGUAGUAGUGUACUGCCAUAUGCAUUUUUCUGUGUGGGCCAUUCAACAGGUUCUGUUUCAAAAAUCAUAGAAUCUUCAUACUAUAUAACACCCCUUCCCAAUUCCUCUGACAUAUCAAUUAAAGUUGUUUAUUUGCAGAGUUCAAAGAACCUUUUGAACUCUGUACUUCAUUUUUCCUCUACAACUCCUCUGUCUCUUUAGUAUCCAUGGCUAGUUUGGCAUGUUACAUUGUUUUAGUGGUGGCACUAGCGAGUGGUUUCAGAGGUGCAGAGGCAGCACGUGCUUUCUUUGUGUUUGGAGAUUCACUUGUUGAUAAUGGCAACAACAACUACUUGGCAACUACUGCAAGAGCUGAUUCUCCUCCUUAUGGCAUUGAUACCCCAAAUGGCAGACCCACUGGCCGUUUCUCCAAUGGCCGCAACAUUCCUGAUUUUAUCAGUUCAGUCAAUUAACUUCUUUUAAUUCUUGCACUUUAACAUUUUUAAUAUGUUUGGUUCCACCGUGACAUGCUCAAAUUCCAUGCAUUCAGGAAAAUUGAAAUUCUGAAUUCAAUGAAGUCAGAGAACCUUAAUUGUUUGAUCUUGAUCCGACGUCUCUAAGUUAAAUAAGUUCUAUUUAAAUUGGAGUCGUCUGAUAAUCAGACGGUCAAACAUGUCUAACUUCAGUGAAUGCAUGAAUCUUUGAAUUUAGGGAAUCCGAAUUCAAAAUGCUCUAGCAUCAUUUAACUUCUAAGCCUUAAAUUCUGCAUAAAUUGUGAAACCAAACACGCCAUUGUUACAUGUGUUUGCUUUGGAAGGUAUGAGUAUAAUGUAGUUGAUUACUCAUAUUUCUAUAUUUGUGUGAUUUUGUAGGUGAACAACUUGGGGCAGAACCCACUUUGCCUUAUUUGAGCCCUGAACUCAAUGGGGAUAAUUUGCUUGUUGGAGCCAAUUUUGCCUCUGCUGGCAUUGGAAUUCUCAAUGACACUGGAAUCCAAUUUGUAAGUGAAAUUGAAGAUCAAGAUUAAUAGCAUGUUUGGAUCAGUUUACUUUAUCUUAGAAUCAAUUUUGACAGUUCGAAGCUACUCACAUGAACUUCUCCUCGUACAAUAGUACCAUUUGGUUCCACAAACAAAAUAUUGGUUGUUGGAUGAUUAUAUGUGUAUUAUAAUUUGUUGCAAUGCAAUUGCAGAUUAACAUAAUCAGAAUAUUCAGACAGUUGGAGUACUUCGAUGAAUAUCAGCAGAGGGUGAGUGCUCUAAUUGGACCUGAAGAAACUCAGCGCUUAGUAAAUGGAGCACUGGUCCUCAUCACUCUUGGAGGCAACGAUUUUGUGAAUAACUAUUACUUGGUGCCUUUCUCGGCAAGAUCUCGCCAGUACUCUUUACCGGAUUACGUGAGGUACUUGAUCUCCGAGUACAAGAAAGUUCUCAGGGUAAAGUCUUCACCUGCUCAUAUUAGCUUAUAAAUAAACGCUUAUAUAUAAAAUUUAUUUUAUAUAUUUUAUAUAUAUUUCAAUAAGUUUCUCAAAUUAACUUAACUGCAGAGCCUGUAUGAUAGAGGAGCACGAAGGGUCCUGGUGACAGGAACGGGUCCAUUGGGCUGUGUUCCGGCAGAAUUGGCAAUGCGAAGCCGAAACGGUGAAUGCUCUCAGGAGCUGCAGCGUGCGGCAGCAUUGUUCAACCCUCAACUUGUUCAGAUUCUGCAACAACUUAAUAGCGAAAUUGGUUCAAAUGUCUUUAUUGGAGCCAACACAAGACAAAUGAACAAUGACUUCAUCAGUAACCCUGGAGCUUUUGGUAACUAUUAAAAUACAAACAUUACCUUCUACAAAAUUAUCACUGCCUCUUAUAUAGUAUACGGCAUAAAUAUACAGUACAUAUUUGACAUUAUUGAGCAUUAGAGUAUGAAUACAAAUACUAACUGAGGUUCCUAAGGUUUUUCUUGUGACAGUACUUGUUGGAGGCAGGGCCUAUGGGGAAAUCAUUUUUUCCCUUUCCUUCUUUUUAAUGUCUCUAAAUAGUAAAUACAUAAUGUCACUGUCAGUAGGUCUCAAUUCUUAAAUGAUAACUAGAUAUUUUUAUGAAAUUUUAGAAAAUAUAAGCAUUUCCUUCUCUUUUUCUUUUUCUUUCUGUAAAGUUCAAAUGAUCACCACAUAUCAUAACAUGAUCGACAGACAUAUCAUUUUUGGCGACAUCUUUCAAACAUGCAUUUUUGCGACAAUUUUUAUGAUUUUAUCCCCACAAAAUAUUGUGAAGAUUAAAAACCGCAAUAAAUGAGUAUCUCUGAAGGGUAUCACCGUAUAUGUGUAUGUAUAAUCAUUCUUCCUCUAGCAUCUAAAUCUAAAUGAAGACAAACAAUUAGAUAUGGCAUAAAUGAUUGAUGAUAGUACUAUACUAAAGCAGUUGAUGUUUUGGUGAUGCAGGAUUUGUUACAUCAAAAGUAGCAUGCUGUGGUCAAGGACCUUAUAAUGGUCUUGGACUGUGCACUACAGCAUCCAACUUGUGCCCAGACCGUGAUGUUUAUGCAUUUUGGGAUCCCUUCCAUCCAUCAGAAAGGGCCAACAGCUUCAUUGUUCAACAGAUCAUGUCAGGCAACACAGAGUACAUGUAUCCAAUGAACCUCAGCACCGUUUUGGCCAUUGAUGCAGCCAACAACUAGCUAAUCCUGCUGCAGAAACUGCAUCAUCUCAUUUUAGUAUUGCAAUUAAUGCAACUUUUGUGUUUGUGAUAAUGUCUUGAAGAUUUAUUUGGAGUCACUGUACUCUUCAAGCUGUUAAUUAGUAUUUAGGAGUGUGAUUGUUUGCGAAAUUGUCUCGAACUUGUGGGUUACUAUGUGGUAUUGAGUGAGUGAGGAUAGUUAAGCACCGUCUUUGUUCUCAUUCUCUUUGGCAGAACAGAAAAGCUGCAUAAUAAUUAUUGAUAAUUAAGUGAUUUUUUGUGUUCAAAUAGUUUCCUCUUUUCCUCUCUAGUAUUAAGUAACAAUGCAACCUUGCAGUUGAAUUAUGAGGCAUCAUUUGGCUUUAUCUCUAAUGGAAAAGGUCAUUGCCUAAUCACAUAUCUUGCAAAUGAUGGCACAAAUUAGGUUCAAGUCAAUUAAGCCAUACCCCUAAGUCAAAGACUCAAAGCAACUUUAUGAUCAAAUUAGAGACGACAAAACCCUAAUUAUCAUGAAGCACAGAGAAAUUUAAUCACAAAUAACAUAAUCAACAAAAAAAUAUGUAAUCAUAUAAAUACAAAACUAAGAUUCUGAUCGCAUAGUCUCGAAGAUUCCAUACCCAGUCACCCAAGCUUGGCAUGAUGAAUGAGCUUUCCAAACAUAACCCUAAAACCGACUCGGGGGCGGAACCCACAAGGACAAAGAGCAUGACGAAACGUACCACAACCAUAAAUGGCGCCACCUUCCUGAUAUCAUAAAUGGUCAUUGCCUUAAUACCAUGAUUAAGGUCCUUAGAGUAACAACCCAUAAUGUUAAUCACAUGGGGGAACCAAAUAACGCUAAACCUCUAAUAAGGGACCUCCCCAAAAGAGAUAGACAUCUUCUUUCACAAACGAAUUUUGGAACCUAAGUUGAGUACUUCUUUCAUUUGAUAAAAUACCCAUAAUUUAAGGAAAACAAAAAUUAAAGUAAAAAUAAUGGAAAAGAAAUAAUAAAAGGAGAGUAAAUGAUCUAAAUCAUGAGUCUAGGUGAAAAACAAACAAAACAACAACGCCAGCAAGUCUAAGCAUAGGAAAAAAUAUUACAUAAAAAGGGGAAAACUUCUAAAUACGCAUAAGAGACUUCUCGCGUGAAGCUUGUCGAGUUAAAAAUUCUUGUAUCCAAGUUGACCGUGAAGUUUCAAAAUAAAAAAUUAUUAAGUCUGGUUUACAUGUAGCUUUUCUAAAAAAGUAAAAAUUGUUUUGACCCUAAACAUGUCAAUUUUCUCUACCCUCUGCCCUUUAUAAAAAAAGGUAGCCCCAAGGUAUUCUUACCGCUGGUAGCUAUGAGACUAAUCCCUCGAGGCUCUAAGAUCAUGUUAACUAUUAAGUGAGUAGGCAUCUCCCAACAAAUGUUUUUCCAUACGCCAAGUAUUUCUUUCAUUCAUUUCCUUCCUUUCAGCCUUUUGCCCUAGCAUGAAAUUAACAAGGACACGAACAUAUUUUUAGUUUUUCAGUAUUAGUAAUUAGAAGAGAACGUAUAAAUGUAUAUAUUUUAUACUCGUGACUAGUGUAAUGCAAUCCAUCACCUGUGAAAUGACUAUAUUGGUUGAAUAGUAAAAGCAUGAAGCAUCAAACACAGGGAAACACACUUCUUUUCACUUUUUGCUUCUUUUUUCUAAUUCUACUAAUGCAUUUGGGCGGUGACAUAAUUUCCUGUAGCAUCUUCACUACCUAAGUUGUCUCUUUAAGAUACACUCCUCACAUGUCAUGCACUUUUAGAACUAGAAAACCUGAGUCGAAUCAAAUCCCAUUAAAGUCUCCCUAGAGUUUAUGCAAGGAGAUAGUACUCCCCCAACCAAGUAUAGUAGCAAGUGAUAUCUGCCAGAAAUAGUUCUUUACUUUUUCCUUUUUUGUUUUUAAGGAAAAAUUAAAAAAGUAGUGAAAACCAGCUAUAAAAAGCCUUGAAUUCAUGAAUGAUGUAUCCACAUACACAUUGUUGUUGAAAGCUUGUUUUCAACUUCCUCAAUGACAUUGCCAUUUCCCUCAAGUUUUGUUCCCUUGGUGAUUAUACUUUUAGUAGUAGUAGGGGUCAUUUUCCCAGGAGCUGAGGCCAAGUCCAAGUCGUCCAAGCCUAAGCCCAAGCCCAGCAGGGCUUUCUUUGUGUUUGGAGACUCACUUGUUGACAGUGGCAACAACAAUUACUUGGCCACCACUGCAAGGGCUGAUUCCCCUCCUUAUGGAAUUGACUACCCAACUCGCAGGCCCACGGGUCGUUUCUCCAAUGGCCUCAACAUUCCUGAUCUUAUUAGUUAAGUAUCAUUCUCCAUCAACUAACUAUUUAUGAUUUUUUUUUAUCAAGUGAAUUGGUUAAAUUGGUUCUGAAAGUGAUUGACACGGCAAGUUCAUCUAUGGACUUAGGAAAUACAACACAUGGCCCCUGAUUGUGGUCAGAUAAAACAUCGAUUAAGUUAGUCCCCACAUUUUAUACAAUUAGGGACCCCAAAUAUAGUAAUUAUUUCUUCAAGUGACGAACUUACCGACAUCCAACACUUUCAUGAAUCAAUUUAGCUAUUCACUCUUUUUUUUAUCACUUGUUUGAGAUUAGUUUCAUUCUCAAGCUUCACUUCCAUAUCAUCCAAUAGGGACAUACUUUUGGAUGAUAAUAUAGACAUUUGGAUGUCAUAGAAGAGAAUUGAUUUCAACUCAAAAUAAUUUUUGUGUAGAAGUUAAGUAGAAUAGGUUUUGAGUUGAACAUAUAUAGUCAAUCUUAAUUUCACUACAUUACCUUGAAAAAUAUUUUUUUUCUUAAAAGUAUUCAAACAUAAAUCACUUCACUUUAAGUUUAUUUCAGUUCAACUCACCUUUACCACAAUCAAUUUUACCAAAAUCAACUUUAUUUAAAAUCAAUUGUGACAACACUGAUCGAAACAAACACUUAGUGCAUGUCUUGAAAUUCUUCUAUAAUUGUUUAUAAAGUCAGAAUCAAUUAUUAAAAGAAGCUUUGUGUUUCAUAAUUGAUUCUAAGAAAAAAAAACACAUGCAAUUGUACAUGUAGACAUGACAUUUGUGUAUUGCAUCUAAUUAUUGUUAACUAGCUGCUUUGAUUAUUAUCAGGCCAACAACUAGGUGCUGAGUCUGUCCUGCCAUACUUGAGUCCACAACUGAGAGGUAACAAGCUUCUACUUGGAGCCAAUUUUGCUUCAGCUGGAAUUGGCAUUCUUAACGACACCGGAACUCAGUUUGUAAGUACAAUAAAAUGCAUACCACCAUAUAUGAUCCACACUGCAAGCUAGUAUAAUGCAUAUAUAAUCACCUUUUUUUGUUUGUUUAAUUAAUUUUCUUCAUUUAAAAUAUGCUGGUUAAUUAGCAAUUGUGGCUUAAUAAUUUGCAGCUAAAUAUAAUCAGAAUGUAUAGACAAUUGGACUAUUUUGAAGAGUAUCAGCAUCGACUGGCCUCUCAAAUUGGAGUAACAAAGACCAAGGCACUGGUGGAUAAAGCAUUGGUCCUUAUCACUGUUGGUGGAAACGAUUUUGUUAACAACUACUACUUGGUGCCUUAUUCUGCAAGGUCUCGCCAGUAUUCACUACCAGAUUAUGUUAAAUUUCUCAUUAUAGAGUUCCGUAAACUCUUGCAGGUAAUUAUCAAGUCUUAUUACAUAACCUUUUUGAGCACAAAGAAUAAUAAUAUAUAGUAACUUUUCUAGCUGAAUGAACUUCACUUAUGUGGUCUUGCUUCUUUGUGUGACCAUUUAAUGCAGAGAUUAUAUGAUUUAGGAGCUCGCAGAGUUAUUGUGACUGGCACUGGACCAUUGGGUUGUGUUCCUGCAGAAUUGGCAAUGAGAGGAACAAAUGGAGGAUGUUCUGCUGAACUUCAACGAGCUGCAGCAUUGUACAACCCUCAACUACUGCACAUGAUACAAGCUCUAAACAAGAAAUUUGGCAGAGAGGUUUUUGUUGCAGCAAACACAGGACAAAUGCAUAACGAUUUCAUCACUAACCCCAAAGCAUAUGGUAGUACUCUAACUUCUAUAUAUACCAACUUCUUAGUGUAUAGUCAUUUUGGCCUUUAAAGAUAUGAGUUCCGUCAACGUAAUUCUUGAAAGAUUGAAAAAAGAAGAAUAGUUACGAAAAGACUGACCAUUUAAUCAUUGAAAGAUGAAAAUCACAAUCUAAAAAAUGACGGUUCAUUUUAGUCUCUGAAAGACUAAAUUGAAAUUUAGUUUCAUCUUUCAAUGACUAUUUUAUCUAUUUCUUUAGCAGAGGGCAAAGGUGACCGAACUGAUAUAUUUCUAGGACUAAAUGACUACAAUUCUAAGCAAACAAUUUAAAGCACCAACUAACAAGUAUAUAAAUAUGUGAUUGUUUGUUGGGCAGGAUUUACUACAUCAGAAAUUGCUUGUUGUGGGCAAGGACCCUACAAUGGGAUUGGGCUGUGCACACC